UGUCAGUGCGAUCACAAGGAAUCAGCAGCCAAAGGGAUCCAAAUCCAAUUGAAGCAGGGCUCACAGAGUUGAUGCUGAUGUUGCUGCUGGUGUUGUU